UGCUUUACACAUGCAAGUCGAACGGUAACAGGCCUUCGGGUGCUGACGAGUGGCGAACGGGUGAGUAAUGCAUCGGAACGUGCCCAGAGGUGGGGGAUAACGCAGCGAAAGCUGUGCUAAUACCGCAUGUGAUCUGAGGAUGAAAGCGGGGGACCAAGCAGCAAUGUUUGGCCUCGCGCCUCUGGAGCGGCCGAUGUCAGAUUAGGUAGUUGGUGGGGUAAAGGCCUACCAAGCCGACGAUCUGUAGCUGGUCUGAGAGGACGACCAGCCACACUGGGACUGAGACACGGCCCAGACUCCUACGGGAGGCAGCAGUGGGGAAUUUUGGACAAUGGGCGCAAGCCUGAUCCAGCAAUGCCGCGUGCGGGAAGAAGGCCUUCGGGUUGUAAACCGCUUUUGUACGGAACGAAAAGGCUCUGGCUAAUACCUGGGGCUGAUGACGGUACCGUAAGAAUAAGCACCGGCUAACUACGUGCCAGCAGCCGCGGUAAUACGUAGGGUGCGAGCGUUAAUCGGAAUUACUGGGCGUAAAGCGUGCGCAGGCGGUCUUGUAAGACAGAGGUGAAAUCCCUGGGCUCAACCUAGGAAUGGCCUUUGUGACUGCAAGGCUGGAGUGCGGCAGAGGGGGAUGGAAUUCCGCGUGUAGCAGUGA
rnacentral:rRNA from 1 species